GACGUAGGUGGCGAACGUUAUCCGGAAUUAUUGGGCGUAAAGCGUGCGCAGGCGGUUUUGCAAGCCGGAUGUGAAAUCCCCGGGCUCAACCUGGGAAUGGCAUUCGGGACUGCAAGGCUGGAGUGCGGCAGAGGAGACUGGAAUUCCUGGUGUAGCAGUGAAAUGCGUAGAUAUCAGGAGGAAUACCGAUGGCGAAGGCAGGUCUCUGGGCUGACACUGACGCUCAUGCACGAAAGCGUGGGGAGCAAACAGG
rnacentral:rRNA from 1 species